GAACCCCUCAAACCUCCCUGGUUAGCCGCUAAACUGAAAGGCAGAGAUUUGAUUUCUGGGAAGGCAGGCCGGCCUGUGGCUCUGGAGUCGGCUGGGAACCGGUGCCGGUUCGCGGGAGAUGGAAAGGGAAAGGGGACGCGGACGUACCCGGACAAGCAGCAUUUGCAGAACCUAGAAAGACCGAUCGCCAGGCGGAAUUGACUCCUCCAGGGUUUGUUUCCAAACAACCUGGCGUCCCUUCAGCCAGGGCGUGGGGGGGAGCCUGCCCGGCCAUCAGCCCUGCUAAGCGAUGGACCAGCCCGGGCUGAGGACUCUGCCCAGCGCUGCGACGGGAGCUCGGCGGAUUGCGGGGGCUAAGGGAUCCACACUCUCUCUGCUAGUAGCGGAGCCACAAAUGCCCGGGCAGCUGGGGGACAAACGGGGAGUCCCUCGGGUCCCAUCCCCGGUUGUCCGAUGCUGCAUUUUUCGGUUUCUCGGCCCCCCGGUAAGAGGCACCGCCCAGGACACUGCUCGGCCCCGCAUCCCCUGGAGCUGGCCGGGAGCUCCAGGCCGGGCACUCGGACACCUGCUCGCUACGUUCUGACUUUCCUGGGCGCAGCCGCUUCCCUCCCUGAGCUCCGAUUCCCUGGGCACUUUCCCCUGCAGAAAGUGGAAAGCCUGCCCUGGCAAGCCUCUCUUUGCCUGGCGUUUAUUUCCUUUUGCGAAGCAGCAGCCGGCACUGGGCGCGCAGCCUUUCCCCCGAUGCGCUCGCUGCAGUAGCAUUUCCUAACCCUGGCGAGCAGAGGAUAGUUGGGGAGGAUACCGACAUUUCUAGCGCCCUGGUCCGAGUUUAGGCUGUGCCGAGAAUCUUUCUCCAACACGUCUCUCUUUCCCGCGUGUGUGACACACACACUAUAGUACCACAUUCUCUCCCUACAUCUAUCUAGUUACACACACGUGAAUCUGCAUGCCCGCGGUUCAUAUAUUUAGCCUUGCAGCGUGUAACUAUAUUACCCACCAGUCCAUCCAUUUUGCACAUGACCAUCUUGAGCUUAUUUAAUAAAGGAUUUGCUCGGUGUGUUCAUAUCUUACAGUCGAAAUUGAAGGGAUCCGUACAAUAUUCCAAAAAUGGUAUUUUGGAUACUACCUGGCCGCCUGCGGAAUAGAUAAAAUAACCGAAUAAACCACCAAAAAGAUUCACAUUAGGCGGUGCCAUCAGCCCCAGAAAAAGUACAUUUUAAAAUGUCUCUUCCCCCUACUAUUUUACAGGCAAUUCUCUUCUAGACAGAUUCGUUUUUCUAUCGAUAACCCAUUAAAUACACCUGGAUAUUUUUGCUUAAUCUUACUAGUCUAUUAGAAGGAGGCAAGUUGAAAUUCAAACCUGGCCCACCAUUUAUAAUAGUGCCGGGCCUUAUUCAGUCUUCUCCCUUUGUUUUGAAAUAAAAAGGCUCCAUGGCAUGAUAAGUUGCCCUUUGACGUGCAGUAGGCAGGGUGAUAUUGGAGCACAUGUAUACACAGAGAAAAUGCAUAAUGUUAAUAUGCUAUUAUAUAGAGAAAGGUGCAAGCUGUGUGUGGCUCUAUCGAUCUCUGGGUCUCUAGCUUCGGAUCCAGCUAGAGAUCGGAUGUAUUUGCUCACAGACACCCUCAUUUCAAGUAAAGGAAUGCACGGGAGCCCUUCUGUGCCACCAGGCGACCUCUUUAUGAUCCCCUGAGUGAAAAGGGCAGAGAAAUAAACGAGAGAAGAAUGGGAAAGUCCUUGACCCCUGACCUUUAGAUUUUGUUCUUUUCCCUCUGAAGCAGGAUGCUAACAAUGCGGGUCCGGUCUAUCUCAAUGAAGAAGGACAUGCGAGGUUAAGCAAAGUCCCCGUGUCCCCAUUGUCUGGCCUGUUUAUUGCGAUCAUGUUAAGGUAACAUGCUUGUUUACUUCUUCCAAAAAGAGGGGGGGGGAAAGGAAGAGCUUGGACAGUUGUUGAUAGCACUGCGGGGUUCUGGCUUCAAUCGGCAGCUGUUGUGGAGAGGCACAGACCCGAUGAAUCCCCCCUUCCUUAAAAAAUAUAUUUAGAUUUCAAAGGGGCAUUUCAUUUGGGAAAUAAACCGUUGUGGGUGGGUUUCUUUUUUUCGUUCCCGGUGUAACACUGAGUGUGAUGUUCUGGAAGGGUUGGCAUUAGAAUGGCUUUAAUUUUUACACUACAAAAAGCCCCGUUUUGAUUUUCGAACUGAGUUGUGCUCGAGACAGUUUCUUUAAAAAAAAUAUUCAAUGAUACUGUAAUGUGCUCGGAUGUAAAAUAAAGACAAUAUUUUAAUCCAAAA